GACGAACGCUGGCGGCGUGCCUAACACAUGCAAGUGGAGCGACGAACCAGGCUUCGGCCUGGGGCAAGGCCGCGAACGGGUGAGUAACACGUGGGUAACCUGCCCUGAUGAUUGGGACAACCCGAGGAAACUCGGGCUAAUACCGAAUGUGCCCUCCGGCCUCAAGGCCGCUGGGGAAAGGAAGCUUCGGCCUCCGCAUCGGGAUGGGCCCGCGGCCCAUUAGCUUGUUGGUGAGGUAACGGCNCACCAAGGCGACGAUGGGUAGCUGGUCUGAGAGGACGAUCAGCCACACUGGGACUGAGACACGGCCCAGACUCCUACGGGAGGCAGCAGUGGGGAAUCUUGCGCAAUGCGCGAAAGCGUGACGCAGCAACGCCGCGUGGGGGAAGAAGGCCUC
rnacentral:rRNA from 1 species